GGUUGUAGAGUGGAGGUGCCUGUCAGCUGGCAGCAGUAUGCUGGAUAUCACACACCCUUACAUCCUGUAAUUAAAUCAGAGAGCCAAUCAGUCCAUCUCUGCCUCCCAAGUACAUGAAAUGAGGAUCCCUGCAAUCACUGCUCACAUGCGAUUUGUUGCUGUCUCCCUCUGACUUGAGGAAUGGCCACCAAAGAGACAUGCUUACAGCCCAAAGGGCUUCCAAAUGGAAAGGGAAAAGACACCAAGACACUGCCGUAUUCCUUAUUUUUGGCAAAAUGUUCAAGGCACACAUGCUGAUUUCGAAGCGAAGAACAAAACAUAGAGUGAAGAGUCAUGUCUCCAAAAGUGGCCCAGCCAGCACUGUGAAGUGUAACAUGUAGCCAGAGCCAUGUCACUCUGUCAAGAGCAAGACAACUUAGUGAAUUAGAAGUGUCAAGUCUGCUGAACAGCAAAGGCCAAGCAUCAUAUCAGCACAGACAUCAUCAGGAAAGUGAACUCCAGCUGAGAGAAACUCUGGGCAGUGCCCCACUGCUGACCAGUACAACCGCAGCUAUCACGUCCAGUUUCCUCCAGCCUGCCCUGGAGUAGAUCUCUGAAUUUUAGGGUCUAAACCAUGGCCUCUAGAGGGAGAAAAAGAGAAUCACAGACUUCCUUAGAAAAGAAGGAUCAUUCCAUUCAACAGGCUAACCCUUUCAGGGAGGGAAAUAGCCAGGAAAGGACAGGACAGCCCCCAAAAUUAGGGAGAAGGGAGGAUGGUGUCCAGAUUUUCCUUCUGGAGACAACACGAACUUCUGACUUUCUGCAUGAUUUGCAAAGGUUCUCCAGAAAGUCUAGACAUUUGGUGGAAAAGGGAAUGACAAAAAGUAAGUGCUUCAAGGUUGUGGAAAACCGCCCUGUGAGAUUUAAAUAGCCCUCUUAACUUUGUCUCCACGCUGUGUUAUCUGACCUUUCCGCAAGUCCAGGAAAAUCACAGGCUGAUGAAAUACAGAGUGUGCAGGGAGGAUUCUGUCAGGAAGGAAUGGAAUGCAAAAUUAAAGCCAUUAGGCCCAAUGCAGACUCUGCAAAUAACAGCUGCCUAGGUCUACGCACAAAUAUUUUAGACAUGUAAGAGAAGUCAGACAAUCAUCUAACGAUUCUCAAAACAAAUUCAGAAGGCAGAUGAUAGUAUUAGCUUUAAGGCUCUAAAGCCAGUUAGAGCACUCUGAUUACAGAGGUGGAAAAUGACCACUUAAGCACUUUGCUAAUUUCCCACCAGCUCUAAAACAGCCAGACUCCUCCUCACGAACUUCCUUAUUUUGUCUUUUUUUUCUCUUCUCA